GUAGGUGGCAAGCGUUGUCCGGAACUAUUGGGGCGUAAAGCGCGCGCAGGCGGUUCUUUAAGUCUGAUGUGAAAGCCCACGGGCUCAACCGUGGAGGGUCAUUGGAAACUGGAGAACUUGAGUACAGAAGAGGAAAGCGGAAUUCCACGUGUAGCGGUGAAAUGCGUAGAGAUGUGGAGGAACACCAGUGGCGAAGGCGGCUUUCUGGUCUGUAACUGACGCUGAGGCGCGAAAGCGUGGGGAGCAAACAGGAUUAGAUACCCUGGUAGUCCACGCCGUAAACGAUGAGUGCUAAGUGUUAGGGGGUUUCCGCCCCUUAGUGCUGCAGCUAACGCAUUAAGCACUCCGCCUGGGGAGUACGGCCGCAAAGGCUG
rnacentral:rRNA from 1 species